rnacentral:lncRNA from 1 species
AAAAAGGCCGAGGCCAAAAAGCAUAAAACAAAACUCCUAAACAAUAAUCAAAAUACCUAACAAACCCUAAAAAUCAACAGCCAGUCUUCAUUCAUUUGACGAAUCCAUUUCUUUUUUCACAUUUUCUGCAUUUCAUUUCUAGAGAGAUUCGUUUAACAAACCAAGAAAACAAUGACUCAGAUAUCCCUUCAGAGAGAGAAUUUAUUCCCAAAAUAGUUACUCUGGUGUGUGAGCAAAUUAAGUCAGAUACCGUUAUUGUCAAAACAUUUCUUUUCCCCAAUCUUCAAAUGACUCAAUAUAGGCAUUCCCAUUUUACCAUUUUCUUGUCAUAUCAUCGAUGGUUCCUUAUCCCCAACUGGAACUCGUCGAUUAUGUUUUCCUUCCAUGGCUUUAUAUUCCUCGACAGCCUGGGUAACAGAUCUAGGGAGGCCAUUUCUCAGAUAAGUAUCUUCUUUCAUAUUGAUUCCUUCCUCUGCUAAUAGAUGUGCCACUUUGUUCAUUUGUCUCAUUGCAUGUCUAAAUCUACAUGAGAUAAAGUAAUUUUUUAAUCAUUUAGCAUCAAUAAUGUAAGCCCUAAUUUCUAAUCUAUCUUCUUCUUCGCUUUUAAUCUUCUUAAUGACGGACAUAACAUUGCCUUUAAUGUCACUUCUUAAGAAGCCUAAUUCAGCCCAGAACUGGAUCGCUUGGACACAACCGAGAACCUCUACCGCAAACUUUGAAGGAAUGUGUCUGUUAAAAUGGACUUUUAUUUUUAAGACUUGCCCACUUAAGUUUCUAAUCACAAUUCCAGUGCAUGAUUUCUUUUGUUGUUUCUCAUAUGCAGCGUCAAAGUUGAUUUUAACAUAAUUCUCCUCAAGAGGUCUCCAGUUUUCCGUCAUCAGUUUGUUAACAGGUAACUGCUUACAUAUUCCAUCCAACUCUCACAAGUAGAUAAGAAUGAAUUGAGUCAAUUUAUCACUUUUUUGCAUCUGUUUUUUAUGAACCCAUUUAUUUCUGGCUGUCCACACAGCCCAUAUAGCACACAUAAUAGUUCUAAUUUUAUGGGCUCACUCAUUUUCGAGAAGAACCUGGAUCCAAUCCUUAAACUGGAAUUGAUCUUGCUCCAGGGUCCACCCAAUCCCUAAUUUGGCCCAAAUAUCGUGUACCAGAGGGCAGUCUCUAAACACAUGUUCUACCGUUUCUUCACUUUACGAGUAUCUUGGACAGAUUACGAAGCUUACCAGCUUUCGUCGAAAAAGAUUAGUUUGAGUAGGAAGGAAAUUAUUUAGAGUUUUUCAUACUAAUAUUUUAAUCUUCAAUGGCAUAUCCACAAGCCAAAAUUUCUUGUACAUAGAUUUGUAUUGGCUUUGCAAGGUCUGUAAAUUAAUGUCCCAAUCAUUUUGUAACUGCUGCGUACUAUGUAAGUCCCCGAAGCUUUUGCUCUCCACACCAUGCUAUUUGUUUCUUUUUCAAUUGAGAGAGGAACACACAAAAUCUUCUCAGCCUCAUCAUGGUGAAAGGUAUUUCUAAUUAACUCCUCUUUUCAUUUAUUUUCAUAUUGUUCAAUUAACUCAGAAAGGUAUACUAAAUUUGGG